rnacentral:lncRNA from 1 species
AAGGUGUAACCCAGUGGUGUUGUCUAAUGCAGCUAGGUGUAUGGCCAACACAAGGCUCACCAUUUCACUUGAGAAACACGUUCAGAAAAAGAGGAAGAGGAGGAAGUGGUGUUGAGUUUGUCUUAACUCCAGAUCAAGCUCUGAUGGCAAGGGUUUAACCAAGCUUGAAAAUGGCAACCUGACCCCUGGAAUCCCCUUCAGCAGGCAGUGACACAGGAGAAAGCAAGGACGUGAAGGUGCAGCCCCAGUAGCAGUGCACAAGGAAGUAAUGGGACUGUGGUGGUAGUGGAAGAUACUCCCACAGCUGAGAAUAUGCUGCUUUCAGCCAUCAGGAUCACCACUACCGCCACAGACAGUUCAGAGAAGAAAAUGCAGACAAGCCAUUUGCUACUGAUUCCACCCAUCUUCUCAUUCAGUGGAAUGGUCUGAUGAGAAAGGAAGUGCACAAGCUCCACCUAAAAGACCCAGCAUGUGGCUGUAGCCUCACCAAGCCCUAUUGUUGACCCACAGACAUUCUCUCCUUGGUCCCCCUUUGAGGACAGUGGCAUCAACCCCUAGAGUGUGUCAUGGUGCUACUUGGCAGAGCCCAUAUCUGCAGCCAGGAUAUAUCCCCAUCCUGCAUCUGUGGCCUCCAGAUUGUCAAUUCACCCCAUCAAAAAUAUACAUAUGGAAAUCAAAGGCCACAGCCAAAGGUUCUUACCUUGUCUCUCAAAGAGGCAAAGAAGUACAGUUUUCUCAGUGGUGCUGAAGAAAUGUUACCAGACCUGGGGAAGAAAGGGAAUUUGGUUGUUAGAACAUCUUUGUCACUUUCAGUAUAUGGGGAAUUUUUAAAUCUUACUCCUCAUCUCAUAUUAUUAUGUCUUAUUCUCCACCUUAUCUAUUUAAAAAAAAAAUCAACUAUUAACUGGAAAGAAACACACACAUACACAAACAAACAAACAACAACAAGAAAAACACAGAAGAAGAGGCACUAGAUACUAACAUGGAAGCCGUGGCUUUGGUCUGCCAAUUAGCUCUACUCCUGAGCCUCUUCCCUGUGCUGGCCAAAGGAGUUCUCUGAGCCUGCCAUUAUAUGCUGUGUGUCCCAGCCUUGAAUGAUUCCCUUGUGGAAGAAGGAAGAGGGUCAAGGAGGCAGAGGACCCUUUUCUUGGUGAUGGCUCCUCUAUGCCUUUUUGCUUGCCAGAGAGAAAGACUGCCCCCUGGGCACAGGGGCUGCCUUCUACCUCCCAUCCUGUGCCCUGUCUUCCAGCCCCUUUUUACCCCAUGCCGAAACCACUCCCACCAUCACGGUGGCCAUCACAGAAUCUUACUGGUGUCACAGUAGUCACCACUGCCCCAUCCCA